AUGCUGCAAUGUUACAGAUAUUGUCCUUAGCUUAGACAAGACUCUAAAUUGAGAGCUCCCUUCCUCCCAGGGGUAGCUCAUCCCAUCUCUGUCACUUCUUCAUCCUCAGUUAAGUUAAUUUGUUUGAGUUAUAAUGAGGGUGGUGUUUUAUGAUGAUGUCUUUAAACUGUAGCUUUAUUAUAUUAGACCAGAGGUCUAAUACGGCGGGCCCACGGGACUGUCCUGCCCGGCCCCCAAGCUCCUGGCCUGGGAGGCUAUCCCCAGCCCUCCCCCACUAUUUACCCUUCCCCGCAGCCUCAGCUCACUCCACUGCCGGUGCAAUGCUCUGGGCAGCGGGGCUGUGAGCUCCUGGGGCAGAGCAGCUGCAGAGGCCGGCCUGAUCUGGUGCUUUGAGCUGCGUGGUGGCGGUGGCAGGGUUCUUAUAUGUCACUCAUCACAGCCUCAUGGUCUCAGACACCAUCCGAUGGUCCAGAGACAUCUACACCGAACACAUCACCAGACACGAACAGUACCAGGAGGAGUGAGCCGGAGCGACUUCAUGCAUCAACUAUGAGAAAGGGACUGAGAGACUUUUUCCGUUGGACCAUAUGAACUGGAACCAUAAACUCACUGAACGUUAAAUCUCACCAAAUGAGGGUCAAUCCAUCCUCAUCAUCGUAUCCACUCAUUAUACUCCACACUUGAACAUGGCCAUCAUAUGAACAACAUACCCUCCUAUCUCAAUGUCUGUACUUUGACCUGUUAACCUUUUACCCCCAAUCGGGGAUAUUGCAGAUUAUGUAUUCCUUACGCCAUCCGAUCUUAAACCAAACUUCACACCCGCUGAUAAUCUGUACGUUAUUCCCUGAUAACCAGUAACUUCUACGCUUAAACUCUGUACCGGUCACUUUUUUAAAAACAUCAUCUUAAUACAAUUUUUAAAUCUGA